CCUUUUUAGUCUUUGUCGUUUGGAAAUAGGAGAUGUUAAGUCGCCGAUAGAACAACCAUUCUUUUCCAACUUGAGAUAUUUGAGAUAUUUGUCUGAGUUAACGCUCUUUAGGUGUUGGUCGAGAGAGAUUGAGUUUGAACUGCUGGCAAGUCUCCAGAAUUUGACUGUGGCAGAGUGUGAAUUGCUGGUGAGGUUAUCGGGUCUAUCGAGCUUAGGGAAGCUCAAAGAGCUGAAAGUGUGGAAUUGCUCCCAGCUAAUCGAAAUUCAAGAUUUGGGAGAAGUGAAAUCGCUGAUAGAAUUAUUAAUUAAGAGUUGCAGCACCAUAAAAAUAUUACCAGAUCUAUCAAAACUACGUAAGUUGCAGAUAUUGCGCCUUUUUCACUGUGAAUCACUGCAAGGUUUGCCUGAUAUACCAAAGACAUGUCAUCCCUAUGUUCAUCGAUGCCCAAUGUUAGGCGAGUCUGUUGACAACUACAAAGCUUGCGAAGAAUGUAGGAAUUCUGACAUGGAUGUGGAUGGCGCGUGAGGUUUAUUCAAUUGAUCAAACCUAAAUCUGGAAGAAUUUGGAACAAUUGGAAGCAUCAUGCAAGACCUAACAUAUUUGCUGCCUGAAGAUACAGCUUGGCAUCCUGUUUGGAAAUAGGAGUUUGACUCCUUUUCUGCGCAAGGCAGUUAUUUAUGGAUGUGGCCCAAUCCUUCCUUACAUGUCUUAGCUCGUUCGUAGGUUGAUUCGGCACUUUGACCUGAACAAGUUCAGACCAAACGAAGUCAAAAAGGGUGGAGAUCAGUUUGGCUUGCAUUUUUGCAUUUAUAGGGAUUGGGGGGCCGUUGAUCAAUUACAAGGCUGGCAUUUUGGGGGUGGAUUAUGUUCUGGUUGAUACCAUGGUUGGGCUAUCACUUUUGGGAUAUAUGGUCAGAAGUUGCUCAUAGUCAGUCAUUAUUGCCAAGUGCAGCUGAGGACCUUGAAUACCUCAAUCUUAGGAUUUGGAUUGUCUGAAAAUCACGAAUUGUAUUAUUAAGAGCUUUCACUUCAAGCUUCUUUGCUCUAUUAAUUUGGUUGCCCUGGCUGUUCAAGUGAAGCCGUCCACAUUUGCUGAAUGAGAAGAACAAUCUGCUCCUUGUUUUUAGAUGAGUACUUUCACAAUGGUCCAUCACACGGCACCACAUAUUCCUUUCAGAUCUUCUAAUGAGUGGAAUGCUGCUCAAGCCCAGCUGAACGGAACCGUCCACUGCGAUUAUCCUAAAUGAUAAUAAAACUUUUAUUUUCCUCGAGUUUCUUUAUUACUCGCUGUGACGGCCCAAGCGGUGGUGCGCGGGAAGGAGGGAUGGUGGUGUGUCUGUGCCGUGGUCACUGGAUGUGUGCAAGGAGGAGACACAUCUCUUGUCUCACAUCGCCUAGGGAGGGUGUGACAUCUUCGACUCUGUUUCGAUAAUAUGAAAUAGGCUUUUCAUUGACGCGAUUAUCCUAAAUGGUAAUAAAACUUUUAUUUUCCUCAAGUUUCUUCAUUACUUGCUCUCUUUUGCUCGCAUCUCAGAUAUAAAUGAACUGUUGAUGACAUGGUGGUGGCGGCAAUUGUAGGGGUGUGCAAAAUGGACUACCCGAACUGGGAUUGCCCGAAUUAGACUGGAUUGACUAAAUAUACUUAUUGUUUUAUUAUUUCUUCAAAAACAUCAGUAAAAUGUGAAUUAAACAAUAUCUCGGUCCCGUUCCAAGUGGUGGGAAACAAAGUAACAGGAAAAGGUAGUGAGAAAAAAUAAGUUAUCGGUUCCAGUGGAUCGGACAAGACUGAUGGUUCAAUUUGAUUCUUGGUUCUAGGACCAACUGCUUCGGUCCUUGGUUCCGAAUUUUGGGAACCGAUCCUCUCAGUCCAAUUCUCUAUUGGAACCGGACCUAACUGGGAACUAAUCACUCCUAGGCAAUUGGAUCUUGUACCUCUAAACUUUAACACAUUUGGCAUUGCUUCUGGGCAUUGCCAUGCAAAAAUGUGUAUCAAGAAACUUUUUCAUUUUUGAAAGUGGAAGAUGAAAUUAUUAUCAAGUUCACGUGGUUAUGGGCGGACUAGCUAUCUUAGCUGACUGCACACUUUAGAAGAAGGUUUUGUCGCUUGCUUUAUCUUAAAAUUCAUCUUAGUUGACCUUUGGGCGCAAGGAUGAGUAGAAUGAUCAAAAAGCAAAUUGUGAUGCUCUUCUCUUGUGCAGGAUUGAAAUUCUAUGCCAUCAUAUAAAUGUUCACAUAACCCAUCAGAUAUCACCAAGGAUUCCGAGUUACAACUUGCGUGCGGCUCACAAGUCUAUACAAGAAAACGGGGAAAGUACUUAAAUGAAGCCACAUGAAAUUGGCGACUCAUGAAGACGAUCAUGACAAUGUGCCAUGUGUAUGAUGAAGAGCACAACUAUGUUGCAUUUGACCAACUGGCGCCUGAGGAUUCCAAGCCAAUUACAUUCCAGAAAAAAAGUGAUGCCUGAUUAUGCUUGACAAGAUAAAUUUAUCGGACUCUGGUGAUCUUCAGCUCUCUCUCACUGGUGGUCUUCUCUUCUUGAAUUAACCUGACAAUAGUUUAUCAAUCAUUAAGAUGAUUUUGCACUUGUUGAGUUGACGCUUAUCCAUAUUAGAGAAGAAAAUGUUCUUGUGAACUUUUUUGGAAGUUAAAAUUUCUGUUUUGUCUCUAGUACGUUGCAGCAUCAGCAUGAUGACAGAUUAUACAUUUUCUUCCAUGCCAACAUGAUAAUUGCUCAGAAAAGAUGCACCUAGUAUCUCUAUAUUCUGGUCAUGCCAUUACGAGACUUCUUGAUUAUAAUUAGAAGAAGCUGCUUGUUUA